UAGCGGAGCAUGUGGUUUAAUUCGAAGCAACGCGAAGAACCUUACCUAAGCUUGACAUCCCAAUGACAUCUCCUUAAUCGGAGAGUUCUCUUCGGGGACAUUGGUGACAGGUGGUGCAUGGUUGUCGUCAGCUCGUGUCGUGAGAUGUUGGGUUAAGUCCCGCAACGAGCGCAACCCUUGUCUUUAGUUGCCAUCAUUAAGUUGGGCACUCUAGAGAGACUGCCAGGGAUAACCUGGAGGAAGGUGGGGAUGACGUCAAAUCAUCAUGCCCCUUAUGCUUAGGGCUACACACGUGCUACAAUGGGUAGUACAGAGGGUUGCCAAGCCGUAAGGUGGAGCUAAUCCCUUAAAGCUACUCUCAGUUCGGAUUGUAGGCUGAAACUCGCCUACAUGAAGCUGGAGUUACUAGUAAUCGCAGAUCAGAAUGCUGCGGUGAAUGCGUUCCCGGGUCUUGUACACACCGCCCGUCACACCACGGGAGUUGGAGACGCCCGAAGCCGAUUAUCUAACC
rnacentral:rRNA from 1 species